UUCACUGUAUAACACUAUGUGUUAAGUUUUAUAUAUAUAUAUAUAAAACUUAACACAUAGUGUUAUACAGUGAA